GUUGAAGAUACCAUGUGGAUCACUAGUUAUCCCUUAUUUGAAUUUGAGGAGAGCAAGUUGUUGAGUAUCUUUUCCUGAUGAAGCAUUGACUUGCAGGCAUGCUAAGUUAACAGAGUAGAAAAGAAACACUUGUAGAUACACAAGUGUGUAAAGGUUGGGCUCAUUAAACUUCAUUUGGUGUGUGAAUUCAAAAGGGAGAUGCAGAAUGCAGAA
rnacentral:misc_RNA from 1 species